rnacentral:rRNA from 1 species
AUUGAACGCUGGCGGCAGGCUUAACACAUGCAAGUCGAGCGAGCGGCGGACGGGUGAGUAAUGUCUGGGAAACUGCCUGAUGGAGGGGGAUAACUACUGGAAACUGUAGCUAAUACCGCAUACCAUCAGAUGUGCCCAGAUGGGAUUAGCUAGUAGGUGGGGUAAUGGCUCACCUAGGCGACGAUCCCUAGCUGGUCUGAGAGGAUGACAAGCCACACUGGAACUGAGACACGGUCCAGAAUCCUACGGGAGGCAGCAGUGGGGAAUAUUGCACAAUGGGCGAAAGCCUGAUGCAGCCAUGCCGCGUGUAUGAAGAAGGCCUUAGGGUUGUAAAGUACUUUCAGCGGGGAGGCGUUACCAGCAGAAGAAGCACCGGCUAACUCCGUGCCAGCAGCCGCGGUAAUAC